rnacentral:tRNA from 1 species
GGAUGGUUGGCCGAGUGGUCGAAGGCACCUGUCCAGAAAACAGUCGAGGCGUAUCCUCCGGGGGUUCGAAUCCCUCACCAUCCGCGA